UACGGGGGGGGCAAGCGUUGUUCGGAAUUACUGGGCGUAAAGGGCUCGUAGGUGGCCAACUAAGUCAGGGGUGAAAUCCCAGAGCUCAACUCUGGAACUGCCUUUGAUACUGGGUACCUAGAGUAUGGAAGAGGUGAGUGGAAUUCCGAGUGUAGAGGUGAAAUUCGUAGAUAUUCGGAGGAACACCAGUGGCGAAGGCGGCUCACUGGUCCAUUACUGACGCUGAGGUGCGAAAGCGUGGGGAGCAAACAGG
rnacentral:rRNA from 1 species